rnacentral:tRNA from 1 species
AGAUAUUUAGCUUAUAUAAAGCGRCUACUUUGAAAGUAGAAGAAAGAUGGUAAUUUAAUAUCUU